GAUGAAGAACGUAGCGAAAUGCGAUAAGUAAUGUGAAUUGCAGAAUUCCGUGAAUCAUCGAGUCUUUGAACGCACAUUGCGCCCCCUGGUAUUCCGGGGGGCAUGCCUGUCCGAGCGUCAUUGCUGCCCAUCAAGCACGGCUUGUGUGUUGGGUCGUCGUCCCCUCUCCGGGGGGGACGGGCCCCAAAGGCAGCGGCGGCACCGCGUCCGAUCCUCGAGCGUAUGGGGCUUUGUCACCCGCUCUGUAGGCCCGGCCGGCGCUUGCCGAACGCAAAUCAAUCUUUUUCCAGGUUGACCUCGGAUCAGGUAGGGAUACCCGCUGAACUUAAGCAUAUCAAUAAGCGGAGGA
rnacentral:misc_RNA from 1 species